rnacentral:rRNA from 1 species
GACGAACGCUGGCGGCGUGCUUAACACAUGCAAGUCGAACGGAAAGGCCCUGCUUUUGUGGGUUGCUCGAUUGGCGAAGGGGUGAGUAACACGUGAGUAACCUGCCCUUGACUUUGGGAUAACUUCACGGAACUGCGGCGAUUACCGGAUAUAAGCUCCUGCUGCAUGGUGGGGGUUGGAAAGUGUCGGCGGUUGUGGAUGGACUCGAGGCUUAGCAGCUUUUUGGGGGGGUAGUGGAUUACCAAGGCUUUGACGGGUAGCCGGCCUGAGCGGGUGACCGGCCACAUUGGGACUGAGAGACGGCCCAGACUGCUACGGGAGGCAGCAGGGGGGAAUCUUGCACAAUGGGCGGAAGCCUGAUGCAGAAACGCCGCGUGCGGGAUGACGGCCUUCGGGUUGUAAACCGAUUUCGCAUGUGACGAAGCGUGAGUGACGGUAAUGGGUAAAGAAGCACCGGCUAACUACGUG